rnacentral:rRNA from 1 species
GACGAACGCUGGCGGCGUGCCUAAUACAUGCAAGUAGAACGCUGAAGGAGGAGCUUGCUUCUCUGGAUGAGUUGCGAACGGGUGAGUAACGCGUAGGUAACCUGCCUGGUAGCGGGGGAUAACUAUUGGAAACGAUAGCUACUCCCGCAUAAUAGUAGAUGUUGCAUGACAUUUGCUUAAAAGGUGCAAUUGCAUCCCUACCAGAUGGCCCUGCGUUGUAUUGGCUAGUUGGUGGGGUAACGGCCCACCAAGGCGACGGUACAUAGCCGGCCUGAGAGGGUGAUCGGCCAAACUGGGACGGGGACACGGCCCAGAAUCCUACGGGGGGGAGCAGUAGGGAAUCUUCGGCAAUGGACGGAAGGCUGACCGAGCAACGCCGCGUGAGUGGAGAAGGGUGUCGGAUCGGAAAGCUCUGUUGUAAGGGAAGAACGAGUGGGAGAGUGGAAAGUUCACGCUGUGACGGUAUCUGACCAGAAAGGGACGGCUAACUACGUG